UCCCACAAGUAAUGGAUGACGCCGUGGACCGGACACACCAAUGUUGGAGAAAAGUUAUACAUUAACCAAAAUUAUAUUUGAAUAUCCUGUAUGGCCAUAGUUUUGGUUUGUCUGUCUAUUCAAAUUCUACUCUUUACCUCCUGGAAGCAGGUACCUAAAACUGUAUAACACGAUUGUAAAUCAUUUUCAGAGCAAAGUUUUAUUAGAUUUUCAAACAUUUUAAAAAAAUAUCGCUUAAGAAAUUUAUUUUAGCUGAUGUUGUUUUCUAUGGUAAGGCCUAUGUGCACUAAAAUGUACAGUCAAUGAUUGGGUGUCCUGUUUGUUUAAAUUUGCAGUGUGUCACAACUUACGUGUAGGAGUAGUGGUCAAAUCUCUACUUCCAGAAGCUUCCACUUUUAGGAUACGACUUUCUGUUAAAGAUAGAAGAAAAACAGCACGAGGCAAGGUUCUUACCGUCACUUGGCCGAGGCGUGCUUGUGGCUGAUCCCCCUGCAAAGUAUUUUUUUGGAUCUGGAAAACAUCAAGGUGAAGAGACAGCUCUCUGUUGCCUGCUUGAUUCGUCUGUCCUACUCGUGCUCCGGACUCCUGUGACAACAGCCUCUGGAAGUAGUCUGUCCCUGACCUGUUCCUCCCACCAGUUAAAUCAAAC